ensembl:lncRNA
AGCGGCAGAGCAUGGCAGUUGGUGUUGUGUGAUUACACGUGCGUUAUUUAACCUUGCAAUAUAUGAACCAUGGGAUAAGACGAAAACCAGCAUCCACAAUGACCUUUCACAGCUGGAGGGUACAGCAUAAUUUGAACAAUAGGUUCAGUGUGGCCAAAGAGUGAAAAGAGAGGGAAAGGGAUCUGGACUGACGGGGUGGAGUUCCUAGAAGGCUGAUCAGGAGAUUCAACAGUUACAAGUACCCUGGCUCCUUAAAAAGCAUUAUCUCUCUUCAAGCAAUGGAAAUGUGGAGGAUUAAUGAAUGUCCGAGUCACAAUCCGACAUGAAACAUGAAGCAUUCAUCUAUUAUUUCUAUUCUAUCUGUACAUCUGUUACAGCUCCUGGAUAACAUUCUCCAUAAAAUACUUUUGGAAGUGAUUGCUUCAUCUUUUAUACAGACCUAUCUGUUGUUGGACUGCAAGUGCUCCCUGAAUGCACAAUUGAAAUCAUUAGAACCACAGCAGAAAGUAACUGAAUCUUGACUUAUAUGUAUGAAACGUGUUAAACCGGCUCUAAAUAAAAAGUGUUGAAAUGC